rnacentral:rRNA from 1 species
GAUGAACGCUAGCUACAGGCUUAACACAUGCAAGUCGAGGGGAAACGACAUCGAAAGCUUGCUUUUGAUGGGCGUCGACCGGCGCACGGGUGAGUAACGCGUAUCCAACCUGCCCAUCACUUGGGGAUAACCUUGCGAAAGUAAGACUAAUACCCAAUGAUAUCUCUAGAAGACAUCUGAAAGAGAUUAAAGAUUUAUCGGUGAUGGAUGGGGAUGCGUCUGAUUAGCUUGUUGGCGGGGUAACGGCCCACCAAGGCAACGAUCAGUAGGGGUUCUGAGAGGAAGGUCCCCCACAUUGGAGCUGGGACACGGCCCAAACUCCUACGGGAGGCAGCAGUGAGGAAUAUUGGUCAAUGGGCGAGAGCCUGAACCAGCCAAGUAGCGUGCAGGAAGACGGCCCUAUGGGUUGUAAACUGCUUUUAUAAGGGAAUAAAGUGAGAGUCGUGACUCUUUUUGUAUGUACCUUAUGAAUAAGGACCGGCUAAUUCCGUG